rnacentral:rRNA from 1 species
AGUGAACGCUGGCGGUAGGCCUAACACAUGCAAGUCGAACGGCAGCACAGUAAGAGCUUGCUCUUACGGGUGGCGAGUGGCGGACGGGUGAGGAAUACAUCGGAAUCUACUUUUUCGUGGGGGAUAACGUAGGGAAACUUACGCUAAUACCGCAUACGACCUACGGGUGAAAGCAGGGGAUCUUCGGACCUUUCGCGAUUGAAUGAGCCGAUGUCGGAUUAGCUAGUUGGCGGGGUAAAGGCCCACCAAGGCGACGAUCCGUAGCUGGUCUGAGAGGAUGAUCAGCCACACUGGAACUGAGACACGGUCCAGACUCCUACGGGAGGCAGCAGUGGGGAAUAUUGGACAAUGGGCGCAAGCCUGAUCCAGCCAUCCCGCGUGGGUGAAGAAGGCCUUCGGGUUGUAAAGCCCUUUUGUUGGGAAAGAAAAGCAGCAGGUUAAUACCCCGCUGUUCUGACGGUACCCAAAGAAUAAGCACCGGCUAACUUCGUG